UUUAAAUAUAUCUAGUUUUUUUAGAAUUGAAUUAAAUUCAGCUUUAAAAUUUUUUGAAAUAAAUUAAAUAAAUUUAUUUAUGAAUUAAAUAUUUUAAAGUAAAUAUAUUCGGGAUAAAUUGAUUAUAUGAGUUAUAAAUUAAUUUUAAUUUAUUUUAAAAGUAAUUAUAAAAUUAUAUUUCUUUUUAAAAAAUGUUUUAAUUUAUAUUUUUAAAUUUAUAUAGUAUAAUUUAAUUUUUAUUUUAAUAAUUUAUAAAAAUUUAAUAUUAAAUUAUUUUAUUUUAAAUAUAAUGAUUAUAUAAGUAAAUAUUAAUAAAAUGAAAUAAAUAAUUAUAAAAUUUUAAAAUUUAGAUUUAAGGAAUUAGGCAAAUAUUUUUAAAAUAAAAAUUUAUAUUUACCUGUUUAUCAAAAACAUGUCUUAUUGAUUUAAAUAAUAAGUUUAUUCUGCCCAUUGAAAUAGAAAUUUUAAAAGGCUGCAGUAUAUUAACUGUACAAAGGUAGCAAAAUAAAUAGUUUUUUAAUUGAAAACUUGAAUGAAAGAAUUAAUAAAAUAUAUUCUGUCUCAAAUUUAAUUGAUUUAUUAAAUUUAAAUAAAAAGUUAAAAUGCUUUUAUAAUUUUAUUAGACGAUAAGACCCUAAGAAUUUAAUAAUUUUAUUUUAUUAAUUAAAUUUUAUAAUUAAUUAAUUAAUAAAAUAAAAUUUUUUUAUUGGGAGGGUAAUUAAAUUUUUAAACUUUAAUUUUUAAUAAA
rnacentral:rRNA from 1 species